GACGAACGCUGGCGGCGUGCUUAACACAUGCAAGUCGAACGGAAAGGCCCUGCUUUUGUGGGGUGCUCGAGUGGCGAACGGGUGAGUAACACGUGAGUAACCUGCCCUUGACUUUGGGAUAACUUCAGGAAACUGGGGCUAAUACCGGAUAGGAGCUCCUGCUGCAUGGUGGGGGUUGGAAAGUCUCGGCGGUCGGGGAUGGACUCGCGGCUUAUCAGCUUGUUGGUGGGGUAGUGGCUUACCAAGGCUUUGACGGGUAGCCGGCCUGAGAGGGUGACCGGCCACAUUGGGACUGAGAUACGGCCCAGACUCCUACGGGAGGCAGCAGUGGGGAAUAUUGCACAAUGGGCGGAAGCCUGAUGCAGCAACGCCGCGUGCGGGAUGACGGCCUUCGGGUUGUAAACCGCUUUCGCCUGUGACGAAGCGUGAGUGACGGUAAUGGGUAAAGAAGCACCGGCUAACUACGUG
rnacentral:rRNA from 1 species